UCGGGAAUUUUGGGCAAUGGGCGAAAGCCUGACCCAGCAACGCCGCGUGAAGGAUGAAGUAUUUCGGUAUGUAAACUUCGAAAGAAUAGGAAGAAUAAAUGACGGUACUAUUUAUAAGGUCCGGCUAACUACGUGCCAGCAGCCGCGGUAAUACGUAGGGACCAAGCGUUGUUCGGAAUUACUGGGCGUAAAGCGUACAUAGGCGGUGACUCAAGUCAGAGGUGAAAGCCUGGAGCUCAACUCCAGAACUGCCUUUGAAACUAGGUCGCUAGAAUCACGGAGAGGUGAGUGGAAUUCCGAGUGUAGAGGUGAAAUUCGUAGAUAUUCGGAAGAACACCAGUGGCGAAGGCGGCUCACUGGACGUGUAUUGACGCUGAGGUACGAAAGCGUGGGGAGCAAACAGGAUUAGAUACCCCCGUAGUCCCUGAGCGGGCUGGCAAGGCGCAU
rnacentral:rRNA from 1 species